ACGCACGCUGGCGGCAUGCCUAACACAUGCAGGUCGAACGAGACCUUCGGGUCUAGUGGCGCACGGGUGCGUCACGCGUGGGAACCUGCCCUUAGGUUCGGAAUAACUCCCCGAAAGGGGUGCUAAUACCGGAUAAUGUCUUCGGACCAAAGAUUUAUCGCCUUUGGAUGGGCCCGCGUUGGAUUAGCUAGUUGGUAGGGUAAAAGCCUACCAAGGCGACGAUCCAUAGCUGGUCUGAGAGGAUGAUCAGCCACACUGGGACUGAGACACGGCCCAGACUCCUACGGGAGGCAGCAGUGGGGAAUAUUGGACAAUGGGCGAAAGCCUGAUCCAGCAAUGCCGCGUGAGUGAUGAAGGCCUUAGGGUUGUAAAGCUCUUUUACCCGGGAUGAUAAUGACAGUACCGGGAGAAUAAGCGCCGGCUAACUCCGUG
rnacentral:rRNA from 1 species